CCUACGGGUGGCUGCAGUGAGGAAUAUUGGUCAAUGGACGAGAGUCUGAACCAGCCAAGUAGCGUGAAGGAUGACUGCCCUAUGGGUUGUAAACUUCUUUUAUAUGGGAGUAAAAUGUUCCACGUGUGGGAUUUUGUAUGUACCAUAUGAAUAAGGAUCGGCUAACUCCGUGCCAGCAGCCGCGGUAAUACGGAGGAUCCGAGCGUUAUCCGGAUUUAUUGGGUUUAAAGGGAGCGUAGGUGGAUUGUUAAGUCAGUUGUGAAAGUUUGCGGCUCAACCGUAAAAUUGCAGUUGAAACUGGCAGUCUUGAGUACAGUAGAGGUGGGCGGAAUGCGUGGUGUAGCGGUGAAAUGCUUAGAUAUCACGAAGAACUCCGAGUGCGAAGGCAGUUCACUGGACUGAAACUGACACUGAGGCUCGAAAGUGUGGGUAUCAAACAGGAUUAGAUACCCCAGUAGUC
rnacentral:rRNA from 1 species